rfam:Medicago truncatula strain A17 chromosome 3, whole genome shotgun sequence.
AUGGCGGUCCGAAACCCAUACUUUUCACUUUCGAACGGGUGAGUGUACUAUCACUUUGGAAGACGUCUAUAUGUUACUCGGCUUACCUUUUGGAGGUUCAAUUGUUACGGCUCCUCCAA